UCUAACUGUACAGCCGCGCUCCUC
rnacentral:siRNA from 1 species